rnacentral:lncRNA from 1 species
AUGCUUAUUUUCAGUAAAAAAUUUUCAUCGAUUAUUUUAAUUUGGAUAUUUCAAUAUUGCAGCAAGAUAAGUUUGAACAGGAAUCAAUAUAUUAACGAAUUUGAAACCGACGUUCUAUAUUCAAAGCACAAUCGAGUGUUAGCAGAUAGAAGAUUGCCGAACAAUGAAAGUUAUAUAGGUCAAAGUAUUAAAGUUAGAGGAGGGAUGCCAAAUAGAACAAGGUCACCUUACGAAGACGAGUUUGAAACUGUAGAUGAAAUAGAAAAUGACAAUAUAGAAACUGCUUAUAAAGCAAGAGAAAGUAAUGUAAAAUAUAAUGUUAAUGUAGAAGAUGAAGAAGAAAUCAUAUAUACAACAUUUCCAAAUAUGGGUACUGGUUGUGAAUAUGCAGAAGAAUUUUUUUAUAAUACAUCAAAUACAAGACAAAGAUUAAUUUCAGGUUUCUUUAGAACACUUAAAAAAAUAGACAAAAAAUAUGAAAAACAAUUGUUUAAAAUGUUUGCUUUUAUAGACAAUAUGAAAAAUGAUCCUAAUAUACCAGCAUCAAAACGUUAUAUAGAAGCGUUUAAACAAAUGAAUGCACUAUCAAAUCCAUUAUUGGCUGCCGCUUUAAUUAAUGUAAUUGUUUUUAUCUCAGCAUCAGCAGCUCCGUCAGUUACAUCGCUCGCUCUUUUAAAUGGUAUUUUUGGUGCUUAUGUUUAUAAAAAACAUAAUAAAUACAAAAAACAGCGAACACGUAUGUAACAUAAAAAGGUUUAUAAGAGUACAUGAGAUUAUUAUAUUUUAUUUGUUUUAAAAAAAAAUUAAUUUCUUAUAUAUUAAGACUAUUUUUAUUUUAUUUUAAAUACAUGCAUUUAUUGUGCGUUAAGUAAUUAUGUUAUUAAUAUUUACACGUAUAUAUAUAUAUAUAUAUAUAUAUAUAUAUACACUUUUUAAAAUUAAAUUGUUAUUGUGUACUAGUACUAAUUGAAACAUAGGUAAUUGUAAGUUUAUUUAUAUCUUUUAUGUUAAGCGAUUUUUAUGUUCAUGUAUCAUUGUGCAUUUGUAUUAAUAUAAUAUUAUUAAUUAUUUAUAUUAAUAUUCAUAUAUACAUAAAUACAUAUAUAUAAAUAUUUAUAAUAUAUUUUAUUAUUGUUGUAACUUUUUAAAUUGUGCUUAUUUAAUAAACAAAAUUCAUUUUUAUUCA